rnacentral:rRNA from 1 species
UACGUAGGGUGCAAGCGUUUGUCCGGAAUUAUUGGGCGUAAAGAGCUCGUAGGCGGUCUGUCGCGUCGGGAGUGAAAUUUUACAGCUUAACUGUGAACGUGCUUUCGAUACGGGCAGACUGGAGGUAUGCAGGGGAGAACGGAAGUUCCUGGUGUAGCGGUGAAAUGCGCAGAGUAUCAGGAGGAACACCGGUGGCGAAGGCGGUUCUCUGGGCAUUAACUGACGUGAGGAGCGAAAGCAUGGGGAGCGAACAGG